UACGUAGGGUGCAAGCGUUGUCCGGAAUUAUUGGGCGUAAAGAGCUCGUAGGCGGUUUGUCGCGUCUGCUGUGAAAGACCGGGGCUCAACUCCGGUUCUGCAGUGGGUACGGGCAGACUAGAGUGCAGUAGGGGAGACUGGAAUUCCUGGUGUAGCGGUGAAAUGCGCAGAUAUCAGGAGGAACACCGAUGGCGAAGGCAGGUCGCUGGGCCAUUCCUGACGCUGAGACGCGAAAGCUAGGGGAGCGAACAGG
rnacentral:rRNA from 1 species